rnacentral:rRNA from 1 species
GACGAACGCUGGCGGCGUGCUUAACACAUGCAAGUCGAACGGAAAGGCCCUGCUUUUGUGGGGUGCUCGAGUGGCGAACGGGUGAGUAACACGUGAGUAACCUGCCCUUGACUGUGGGAUAACUUCAGGAAACAGGGGCGAAUACCGGAUAGGAGCUCCUGCUGCACGGUGGGGGUGGGAAAGUGACGGCGGUUGGGGAUGGACUCGCGGCUUAGCAGCUUGUUGGUGGGGUAGUGGCUUACCACGGCUUUGAUGGGAAGCCGGCCUGAGAGGGUGACCGGCCCCAAUGGGCCUGAGAUACGACCCAGACUCCUACGGGGGGCAGCAGUGGAAAAUAUUGCGCAAUAGGCCGCAGCCGUAUGCAGCAACGCCGCGUGCUAAAUGUCGGCCUUCGGGUUAUAAACCUCUUUCGCCUGUAACGAACCGUGAGUGACGGUAAUGAGUAAAGAAGCACCGGCUAACUACGUG